GCCUACGGGCGGCUGCAGUGAGGAAUAUUGGUCAAUGGGCGAGAGCCUGAACCAGCCAAGUAGCGUGAAGGAUGAAGGUCCUAUGGAUUGUAAACUUCUUUUAUAGUAGAAUAAAGUGACCCACGUGUGGGUUUUUGUAUGUAUACUAUGAAUAAGGAUCGGCUAACUCCGUGCCAGCAGCCGCGGUAAUACGGAGGAUCCGAGCGUUAUCCGGAUUUAUUGGGUUUAAAGGGUGCGUAGGCGGAAUAAUAAGUCAGUUGUGAAAGUUUGCGGCUCAACCGUAAAAUUGCAGUUGAUACUGUUAUUCUUGAGUGUACAUAAGGUAGGCGGAAUUCGUGGUGUAGCGGUGAAAUGCUUAGAUAUCACGAAGAACUCCAAUUGCGAAGGCAGCUUACCGGGGUACAACUGACGCUGAGGCACGAAAGUGUGGGUAUCAAACAGGAUUAGAUACCCCGGUAGUC
rnacentral:rRNA from 1 species